UACGGAGGAUGCGAGCGUUAUCCGGAUUUAUUGGGUUUAAAGGGUGCGUAGGCGGAUCGUUAAGUCAGUGGUCAAAUUGAGGGGCUCAACCCCUUCCCGCCAUUGAAACUGGCGAUCUUGAGUGGAAGAGAAGUAUGCGGAAUGCGUGGUGUAGCGGUGAAAUGCAUAGAUAUCACGCAGAACCCGGAUUGCGAAGGCAGCAUGCCGGCUUCCUACUGACGCUGAAGCACGAAAGCGUGGGGAUCGAACAGG
rnacentral:rRNA from 1 species